AAAGGUCCUGCUAAUGAGCAGACGGUGAAUCAGGAUGAACAUCAGCAGCAAGUGUACUCCUCUCUUCUUCAUGGUGAUCGUUGUGUCUAUGAGACAAUCAGAGGCUCUGAAAACACUGAAAAUGGACAACGUGGUGACCCAGAGGAGAGCUCUGACUACUAUAAUGUGAAUCCAAAUUCAGCCACAGCUCUAAAAUCUUAACAGCAGCUCUUUAGCUGUUUUUAUCUUUU